rnacentral:rRNA from 1 species
UACGGGAGGCAGCAGUGGGGAAUAUUGCACAAUGGGCGCAAGCCUGAUGCAGCCAUGCCGCGUGUAUGAAGAAGGCCCUUCGGGGUUGUAAAGUACUUUCAGUCGUGAGGAAGGUGUUAAGGUUAAUAACCUUAGCAAUUGACGUUAGCGACAGAAGAAGCACCGGCUAACUCCGUGCCAGCAGCCGCGGUAAUACGGAGGGUGCGAGCGUUAAUCGGAAUUACUGGGCGUAAAGGGCACGCAGGCGGUUAAUUAAGUUGGAUGUGAAAUCCCCGGGCUUAACCUGGGAAUGGCAUUCAAGACUGGUUAGCUAGAGUCUUGUAGAGGGGGUAGAAUUCCAUGUGUAGCGGUGAAAUGCGUAGAGAUGUGGAGGAAUACCGGUGGCGAAGGCGGCCCCUGGGACAAAGGCUGACGCUCAUGUGCGAAAGCGUGGGGAGC